rnacentral:rRNA from 1 species
AUUGAACGCUGGCGGCAGGCUUAACACAUGCAAGUCGAGCGGGGGAAGGUAGCUUGCUACCGGACCUAGCGGCGGACGGGUGAGUAAUGCUUAGGAAUCUGCCUAUUAGUGGGGGACAACAUCUCGAAAGGGAUGCUAAUACCGCAUACGUCCUACGGGAGAAAGCAGGGGAUCUUCGGACCUUGCGCUAAUAGAUGAGCCUAAGUCGGAUUAGCUAGUUGGUGGGGUAAAGGCCUACCAAGGCGACGAUCUGUAGCGGGUCUGAGAGGAUGAUCCGCCACACUGGGACGGAGAAACGGCCCAGACGCCUACGGGAGGCAGCAGUGGGGAAUAUUGGACAAUGGGGGGAACCCUGAUCCAGCCAUGCCGCGUGUGUGAAGAAGGCCUUAUGGUUGUAAAGCACUUUAAGCGAGGAGGAGGCUACUCUAGUUAAUACCUAGGGAUAGUGGACGUUACUCGCAGAAUAAGCACCGGCUAACUCUGUGCCAGCCGCCGCAGUAA